rnacentral:rRNA from 1 species
GAUGAACGCUGGCGGCGUGCCUAAUACAUGCAAGUCGAGCGAACAGAUGAGAAGCUUGCUUCUCUGAUGUUAGCGGCGGACGGGUGAGUAACACGUGGGUAACCUACCUAUAAGACUGGGAUAACUCCGGGAAACCGGGGCUAAUACCGGAUAAUAUUUUGAACCGCAUGGUUCAAUAGUGAAAGACGGUUUCGGCUGUCACUUAUAGAUGGACCCGCGCCGUAUUAGCUAGUUGGUAAGGUAACGGCUUACCAAGGCGACGAUACGUAGCCGACCGGAGAGGGUGAUCGGCAACACUGGAACUGAGACACGGUCCAGACUCCUACGGGAGGCAGCAGUAGGGAAUCUUCCGCAAUGGGCGAAAGCCUGACGGAGCAACGCCGCGUGAGUGAUGAAGGUCUUCGGAUCGUAAAACUCUGUUGUCAGGGAAGAACAAAUUUGUUAGUAACUGAACAAGUCUUGACGGUACCUAACCGGAAAGCCACGGCUAACUACGUGCCAGCCGCCGCCGCUG